rnacentral:rRNA from 1 species
GAUGAACGCUGGCGGCGUGCCUAAUACAUGCAAGUAGAACGCUGAAGGAAGGAGCUUGCUCUUUCCGGAUGAGUUGCGAACGGGUGAGUAACGCGUAGGUAACCUGCCUGGUAGCGGGGGAUAACUAUUGGAAACGAUAGCUAAUACCGCAUAACAGUAGAUGUUGCAUGAUAUCUACUUAAAAGGUGCAAUUGCACCACUACCAGAUGGACCUGCGUUGUAUUAGCUAGUUGGUGAGGUAACGGCUCACCAAGGCGACGAUACAUAGCCGACCUGAGAGGGUGAUCGGCCACACUGGGAAUGAGACACGGCCCAGACUCCUACGGGAGGCAGCAGUAGGGAAUCUUCGGCAAUGGACGGAAGUCUGACCGAGCAACGCCGCGUGAGUGAAGAAGGUUGUCGGAUCGUAAAGCUCUGUUGUAAGAGAAGAACGAGUGUGAGAGUGGAAAGUUCACACUGUGACGGUAUCUUACCAGAAAGGGACGGCUAACUACGUG